AUGGAAUUUGGAGUCACAAGGACAAGGGAGCAGAAUCAGCUCUGCCGUCUAUGAACUGAUUUUGAAGAAAGAAAUUCACCUCUCUGAGUCUCAGUUGCUUGAUCUGUUAAAUAGAAAUGGAUCCUAUUAACACAUAGUAGGAAAAUAAACAAGUUACAAUGGUGAUUAAGGGUCUCAAACCAGGAAGACAGGAGACAAAUCAGAUCAUAUUACAGUCCAACAAAUGUGGUGAGAAACACAGAGCUCAGCGUCAAGUGGCACGGAGAGAACAUCUACACCCACACGCCUCUGAUUCACACCUGAAGUUUUUCACUGUGCUUGAUUGGAAAUCCAAGUCUCCUGGCUUCCAAGGCUGCGUAGAGGGAUGGCUAUGACCAUGAACUUUGGUGUCACAGGGAUGGGAGCUUGCGUUUCUUCUUUCCUGUCUACUGGCUGUGUGAUCUUGAAUUAAUUAUUUAACCUGACUGUCUUCAUCUGUAAGAUGAUGAUAAUGGCUCCAAUAUCACAGGCUAUUGCAAGGAUUAAAUUCAAUCAUGAGUGUCAAGUCCUUUCUACAUAAUGUCAUCUAUAAAUGGUGGCUAUUAUCCUUUCUACGCCUUGGUUAUGCUAAGUUCAAAUGUGAUAUUAUGAGCGAAUAAACUUUACUCUGCAUUUCCCA
rnacentral:lncRNA from 1 species